rnacentral:rRNA from 1 species
UACGUAGGGGGCAAGCGUUGUCCGGAUUUAUUGGGCGUAAAGAGCUCGUAGGCGGUUCCGUGAGUCGGCUGUGAAAUCUCCACGCUCAACGUGGAGGGGUCAGUCGAUACUGCGGUGACUCGAGUCCGGUAGGGGAGUGUGGAAUUCCCGGUGUAGCGGUGAAAUGCGCAGAGAUCGGGAGGAACACCCGUAGCGAAGGCGGCUCGCUGGGCCAUACCUGAUGCUGAGACGCGAAAGCGUGGGAGCAACAGG